GUGUUUGUUCACUUAGCACAUAUACCAAAAAAUAGCAAUGAUACAGAAUAUCAUAGUCCUUGUAUAAGGAUGAUACCUAUAAAUUUGAAUUACCCCAUUUUUCU